CGACUACAUUAGAUACCCCCGUAGUCCUAGCCGUAAACGAUACUCGCUAGGUGUCGGCCACGGUGCGACCGUUGUCGGUGCCGUAGGGAAGCCGUGAAGCGAGCCACCUGGGAAGUACGGCCGCAAGGCUGAAACUUAAAGGAAUUGGCGGGGGAGCACCACAACGGGUGGAGCUUGCGGUUUAAUUGGAUUCAACGCCGGAAAUCUUACCGGGACCGACAGCAACAUGAAGGCCAGGCUGAAGACUUUGCCGGAUUAGCUG
rnacentral:rRNA from 1 species